rnacentral:rRNA from 1 species
GCGAGUGAAGCGGCAAGAGCUCAGAUUUGAAAUCUCACCUAGUGUUCGAGUUGUAAAUUGCAGGUUGGAGUCUCGGGUUAGACGUGUGUGCAAGUCCCUUGGAACAGGGUGCCACUGAGGGUGAGAGCCCCGUAUCGUGCAUGUCGACACCUGUGAGGCCCUUCUGACGAGUCGAGUUGUUUGGGAAUGCAGCUCUAAGUGGGUGGUAAAUUCCAUCUAAGGCUAAAUAUUGGCGAGAGACCGAUAGCGAACAAGUACCGU